AGAUAAACUUAAAACAGACUAAAACACAUACCAACAUUCUACAUAUCUGGAUAGGCCUGUAUAAACAGAAAUGUUGUUAGCAGGUGUUGAAAAGAGUACAGUGAAGGUACCUGUCUGGUAUCAAUAGGCAGGGAGUUCCAAAGUCUACGUGCUGCCACCAUAAAAUAUCAGUUUCUUACAAAUGUCAAACAGGGAUUAGGUGGCACCUAUAGCAGUGCCAGUUCCACAAAUCAAACUGGUCUAGUGGGCAUAUACAGGUAAACUGGUCCCAAGUUGUUAAAAGCUUUAUAUGAUUCUGCAGUAGAUGAUACUACUAAUCAUUUACUUAGUUACUUUAUACCCCAAAGAAAUCUUUUAAAAAUCUCUUUAAAAUCACUCAAAAAUCCCAACAAAAAAUAAUAAUAUAAGAGAUACAAUAUAAAUUACACAGUCAAAACCAAACAAUACAACUAUUACCACCACUACCACUUCCUCAUUAUAAGUAACAUAAUUAAAUAAAUACCUCAAAAUAAUGUACAUGAAUAAAAGAACUAUUAUCCACAAAAAAAUAAGAUGUUAAAAAUAUAUAGACACCUCAAAAUGCAACCUAAAUACUAUAUAUCAUAAAAUUUCAUGUUUACUACAAAAAUAUUUACUAUACAUAAUAUAAUCGAUAAAUCAGUCACCUACAUAUUGGCAGUGCACAAAACUAAUUCUCACAUACCCAAUUAUUGAACAAUAUCCUUCCACCAAUCACAUCAUUGUGUAUGUACGCGUACUCUCGAUUUCUUUUCAUGGUGGGAUGUCUAAAGAUUUGUUUAAAGAUGACACCUUGAUUUUAAUGAAGUGCUUUCCAGGGGUAUUUUUUUUUCAAUGAAAUGUUUCCCUCUGAUGAGCAAUUUGGAAUAAAUAAAUCCAUACUUGUAUCAAUACUGAAAAUAAAGCCCUUUUAUUAACCCUGCGGAUUUAUUAGACACACAUAGUUAAGUAUUAGAAAGAACUUUUGACACAAAGGUUUAGGAUCAUUAGACAGGUCAAUGCAACCCUCAGUAGUAAAUCAGUGCAAGGCAGACUCAGCUAACGAUUUCCACCAGGCAAUUUGUUUAUCAAUCAUUAUAAAUCUUUGUUUAAGAAAAAACAACAACACACAGAAUAAGGAAAUAGGAAAAGCGUGCUCAUUUACGGCCAUCUCCAAAUUUUAUCAGACACUUCCUUCUCUCUUUCUCUGAAUAUCCACAGUGUAAAAUAUACAUUUUGUAUUUCACUCAAAUGUAGCUAAUGCUCUACAGACCUCCAUCCUGAUUUCCUGAGCAGUGAGUUCCAUCGUCAAUGGAUGGUGGUGAUGAUGAUGAUCACCAUUAUUUAUACAACACCUAAAAUGUUGAAAGGGCUUCACAUUUCUUAGUAUUAUUUGAAUGGGAUGUGUAGCUUUAUGCUCUCCCCCCCCCCCCGGGAUGCUGGGAUUUAAAUUCCCUGUCCAGUUGCCAGCAUGAAAAGUCAUUCCCCCCAGUAUAUGGAACACAUCAAACCACAACCACCACUUCUGCCUUCUCUCUGCCCAUAAGUAAGUUUCUCAGGUGCCUUGGGCAGAAGAAAAGGAAGUCCAGCUUCUUGAAUACCCUGUAAAAAAAACACCUUGAACCCUUUCAGGAUAAGACAAGGCUUAAAAAGCAUGGAUCUCUGCAGUAGCAUCCAGGACUAUUAGGAAUCAGAUUUCCCAUGAUCCCUGACUUCCAUAGAUCUUGCUGCAUCCAGAGUUUCAAUCCCGAAGCCUCCUGCAAGGUCUUUCUACAACAAUCCCUCACCUCAACAACAAUUGCACUCCUCUAUUUGAGGUUUCUAAACAACAGUUUCUAAAGGGACGUGGGUGGCGCUGUGGGUUAAACCACAGAGCCUAGGGCUUGCCGAUCAGAAGGUCGGUGGUUUGAAUCUCUGCGACGAGGUGAGCUCUCAUUGCUCGGUCCCUGCUCUUGCCAACCUAGCAGUUCGAAAGCACAUCUAAGUGCAAGUAGAUAAAUAGGCACCGCUCCGGCGGGAAGGUAAACGGCGUUUCCAUGCACUGCUCUGGUUCGCCAGAAGCGGCUUAGUUAUGCUGGCCACAUGACCCGGAAGCUGUACACCAGCUCCCUUGGCCAAUAAAGCAAGAUGAGCGGCGCAACCCCAGAGUUGGUCACGACUGGACCUAAUGGUCAGGGGUCCCUUUACCUUUACCUUUAAACAAAGCCUGGAUGGUAAUCUGUCAGGGAUUCUUAAACUGUGAUUCCUGCAUUGCAGGUAGGUUGGAAUAGAUGGCUCUUGGGUUCCAUUCCAGCUAUGAUUCUAUAACUCAUGCUUGCCAACUCUAUGUUAGGCAAUCAGAAUCAAAGGUACGUGUAUUUUUUUUACCUGUUAAGAAAUUUCUCACAGAAGAACAGUAGCAGCUCCAAAAUAUUAAUUAAAUUCAAUCGUAUUGUGUGAAGAUGUCUCAGUGACAUCAUGGGGUUAAAUGACAGAAAAACACACAUGGAGGUCAAGGUUUAAAGCCAUCUAAAAAAAUGAAGAAGUGAAGUCCUUCUGUCUAGGAUCAACACAGGGCCCAGGUACCCUUGGUGAUUACAGUGACUAAUAGAGCAUUUGGAAGAGUCAUUUGCCCUUUGCUUGCCUUUGCGAACUUAGCUGGAAAAUAAAGUGAAAGAGCCAGCUGGAAAACAGAAGAUUUAUAUGAAAAGUACUUUCCUGAGUGUAUACCUUACAAUGUGUCAAACCCAUAAAUUUUACUAAUACAGGCACAAUCGAUAGAGAUUUAAAAGCUUUGGUUGGGUUUAUUCCCCCUAGCGCUAUGUUGCAGGCUCAUCACACGUUCUGGAGAACCGAAUUUCUGAGUUUUGUAGAAGGCGCAUGGAAAUGAAUAAACAUUAAACUUUCCAAGAGUCCCACUUCCACUACAAUUCAUCACAGGUUGUUGUAGUGGUACUGUAGUAGUAAUUUUAUUAUUAGCAAUAGAAAAACAAAUCCCACUGCAUUGUGGUAAAAACAAUGGUUAUAUAAUCCCAGCCAAUGGCAUUCAAAUCUUAUCAAUAGUGGAUGUGAUGUAAUUGUUUUAGUACUGGGCUUCUUCAAUUUAUUUAAUUAUGCAGCAAUUGAAUCCCACUUGACUUGUCUCAAAAUGGGCACACAUUGUACCCCUCCAAGCUCCCUAGAGGAAGAGCAGGACACAAAUAAACAAGUGCCAUGUUGAAUUUCAUGUGUUUAGAUUUGGUUGUUAAAAUCUGCAUAUCUGACAAUGGUGAAUCAUUUGCUAAACAUUACCAUAAAUUAAACACACCAAAAGGAGCGUUCUGUCUGUUUUUCUUUGUAUCCUGUGUAGACCAGACCUUGUUAAAAGGGGGCUGUACAUUCCCACACACCACCCAGGGCUGGUUUUCCAUGAGGAAACCACUGUUAGCCAUAUUUUGGCAGGUGAUAUACAGGGGAGGCUCACAAUCCAUUGUGCACCCAUGUACAACAUACAACAACAGCCUUCAUAUCCAUUAAGUCAUUAGGGUUAUAUUUUAAGCACUGGUGCUGUGGUAUGCAUGAUUUGCGUAACCAGUGUCUUCCCUGCUUUGCGGAUGACUUCUUGAAUUUUCACGAAUGCUUUCGUGUGCAUUAUGCUAAAGUAGAAACAGACACGAUACCCUGGAAGUCUCAUUACCUGAAACCAUUUGGGUUCGAAAAGCCAAACACAUAUAGACUCGCACACAUCAGAUUUCUUGACCAGGGCAAGAAAACUACUUCUAUUUUGCUGCUUUUCAGAACCUUUUGCAUAACAAAAAAAGCCCCCAUACAAAAUAGAUCUGCUGAGAUCUGGGGUGUUUUUAUAACGAAGCCUGGUGUUAACACUCUGUCUCUCAGACACCAUUUCACCAUCACUCUGUAUUGUUUUCUAAUCAAAAGGGUCACCAAAGCACUGACUCUGAACAGUGCAAAUGUGCAGCUAUUUCCCCUCCUAUCUGACAGCACAUCUAUAGAUUGCUUAGACAGGCUGACAGGAUACAGGGCUAAUGACACAUGAAACAUGCGAAAUCUUGGAUGGAUUAUACAGUAAAAUUUCAAAUAAUCCCAUAAGGAUUCUGCUUAAUUUGAAGUCAGCUGUCAGGUAGUUAAGCUUCCUGUUUUAGCUUUUAAGACAAAAGGCUACAGAGAUCUUUAUUCUGUCUCGUCACACACACACACACGCCCCAAGAGUUUUCUCUCUCUCCUCUACCACCCUAUUUGUUCUCCUACUAGCACAUUGUAGAUGCAAAAGAUAUUGGUCAAGAGAAUGAGGAAAGUAUAGUAGCAUCAAAGGGGGCUCAGUUAGAUAAAUGGACAUCUGUGACAGAUAGCUCUUUGACACUGGAGUCACUAAACCUUGCACGCCUUUCUCACGGGAAUGAUCUGCAACUAUUACAGUAUCUCUAAUGCAUCUACGAACAUGCAGCUUGAGACUCAUUCACAGUCUGAAACCAGAUCACAUUUUACAGUGAAAAGACGAGGUCUUGAAUGGCAUGGAGUCCCAGAUUGGUUUUUCUUAUCACAGUUCUUCAAUAGCAUUAAUCAGCUGUUUUAUUUAUUAAAGGUUCAAUCUUUGGCCUCCGUGAAUAGUUGGUCGUUGUUUCCCUUCUGCUUUGUGCAACCUGCUCCUACCAAGGUCAACACUAAUUUUCAAACAAAUCCUUCCUGGCAAAAGUGUCUCCUAAACUCUGGGAACAAAUUUCAUAGAUAUCUGUUUUUGAGAGCAUCAAGAGCAUAUGAACAAGCUGAGACAUUAUUAGCCACUUCCCCCCAAAUUAGAAUUCCCUUCAUUUGAGAUUAAGAGUCCAAAGCAGCCCCCUUGCUAAAUAUUUUACAUCUGUGCCUUCUUCCAGAGGAGUUUAACACAGUUUUUUCAAUAUAUAUUUUCAAUCACAUUUAAAAUAAAUUUAAAUGCCACUUUUAAAAUAAAGAAAUUGGGAAUGGAAGAAGGCUUAUCAUCAGUUAGGAAUAUUUGAAGAUGCCAUUGUUCCACCUAGCAUAGCAUUGUUUACCUUGACUGGCAAUGGCUUUCCAGGGUUUCAGACAAGAAUUUUCCCCAGGUCUUCCUUAAGAUGCCGGGUAUUGAAUCUAGAGCUUUUGCUUGCAAAGCAUAUUGCAUUAGCUGAGAUCCUACUCUUGUCUUUCAAGCAUACAGUAUCUCCCAACAUCUCUGUUAUGUCAGUGAGCAGAGUACGGUUUCCACUAAUGCACAUCCUUUGCGAGGAAAAAAAGGUUGGAAGCUAGAAGACAAGCAAGACCACAUGAAUAUCUCCCAAUGUCUCUGUUAUAUCCAGUGCUUUUCUUCUAGGAAAAAAGAGAUACCAGUACUGUGGGUACCCUUGAGUACCCCAGAAAAAAGGCACUGGUUAUAUCACAGAGGUACCUGUUUCUGCUGAAGACACCGGUGUGGCCUCCCUUGUCUUCUAGCUUACAAUCCCAGCUAAGAGUCUUGUGGAGUGGAGACAGCAGUGGUUAUUUCAGGGAGUGUUCAGGACGGAGAGGGACAUCCUCCAAAUUAAUCUUAGUCCAGAUGAACAGAUAUUGUAGAGGUGAACAAUCAUAUUUAAAAUUAACCCUUGGUCUAAAGCUCCAGGGAAAAUGGGUUAUGGUCCUCUCAAAGCAUUUGGUGAACAAUGGGUUAUGGAACCUUAUGGUAAUGUUAGUUAUAUUUGGCCCUGAAAACAAAACAGCUAUCACUAGUGGCAGCAUAGAUAUUAAUUAACUCUAAUAUUAUAAGCAGUUAAAAGAUUGGCAUAGCAAUUGGUACUUUUUACAGGCAACCAGACCCUUUGAAUGUAAAUAUAUCUACUUUUUUCUGGAUCAUUUAUUUGACUGAUAUAUACACAUAUAUACCGAUAAUAGGCCCAAGCUACCUUAUUUCAUGCUUCCAGAGCAUUCUGACAAAUGCAGAAGACAUGGUCUCAAUGUCUUAAGGAUGUGCUUCAAAACGGAUUAUUGAUAUUUCAUCCCACAGCUCUCUUGGUGGGUAUUGAGUAUCAGCCGCCUCGAAGGUUGGCGCCAAGCUUCUUCUUCUGUGCACCACAAACCAGAAUUAAUUGCAAAUCAAUCGAACAAAGUACAACUGAUCAGUAAACCAAUUAGUAAUUUUAGCUGUUCAUCCUGUCUUCAUUUACUGAGGGGAAAGAGGUGGGGAGAGGAGAGGUGAUUUCUAGCUAGCAUUUCUUUCUUGCUAACUGUGUCCUUGUAAAAAUUAAAAUUAAAGAGCCAUUCAUGGAGAGCUGAAUGUCAUAGCUGUUUCACAUCUUACAUAUUUCUUUGUUCCAUUUUUUAUUGCAUUUUGAAAGAAAAUCCAAAAUAAAGCCGAAGUACAUAAUCUUUUUUUCUUUUUUCUUUUGACACUUCUAGUUAUCACUGAAUUUUGUCAAAAUAUAAUAGGGGCAUGGAAGAUUCUUGCUAGGAUGGCACCAAAUUCAAAAAGAAAAAUUUCCAGGCAUUUCAUCCAUCUUGAAAUUACUAUUUCUAUUUUUGCUAAGCUUCCAUAGGUGAGGUGAAAUUAUUUGGUGGUUAAAGAGGAUCAGAGUGGCUUUUGUGAAGAAACCCCAUUCUGGGAUGUUUUCUGAAUUUUGGGGAAAUCAGAAUGACAGCUGCCAUUAAAAAUGGCUGUGUCCUUGGGCACCCACUGCUGAGUAUAAUGCACAGCAUAAUAAUAUGAGAAAGGCCCUGCUAGAACAGACCAAAUGCCCAUCUGGCCUAGCAUUGUGUUUUCGCAGUGGCCAAACAAAUGUGUAUGGGAAGCCUGGAAGCAGAAGACAGCCAUCUUGCAGCCUGAGAGGUGAUAUGAUAGCCAGAACCAAUGGAUUUAAAUUACAAGAAGGUAGAUUCUAAUUAAACAAUAGGAAGUACAGUGGUGCCUCGCAAGACGAAAUUAAUUCGUUCCGCAAGUCUCUUCGUCUUGCGAGUUUUUCGUCUUGCGAUGCACGGUUUCCCAUAGGAAUGCAUUGAAAAUCAAUUAAUGCGUUCCUAGGAAACCGCCUUCAGACCAGGUCCGGGGACAGUCUGUCCCCGGACCUCUUCUGAAGGCUGGGGGGCAAGGGCUUUUCUUCCCACCCCCAGCAUUUUAAAACCCCGGGACAGCGGAGGACUUCUCCGCUGUCCGGGCGAUCUUAAAAUGCUGGCGGGCGGCAUUUAAAAUCACCCCGGGACAGCGGAGGACUUCUCCGCUGUCCGGGGCAAUUUAAAAGCCCCUGGGAAGGCAGGCAGGGGGACAAAGACUUUGCCCCCGCCAGCCUUCAGAAGAGGUCCUGGACCUCUUCUGAAGGCGGGCGGGGGCGAAAGUCUUUGCUCCCCCGCCUUCAAAAGCCCUCCGGGACAGGCAGGCAGGGGGAGCAAAGACUUCGCCCCCGCCCGCCUUCAGAAGGUCUUCCUCCCCCCGCCCGGCUCGGAGCACCGCUCCGGGCCGGGCGGCGGCGGGAGGUGUUCCCUCCCCCGCCCCGGCUCGGAGCACCGUUCCGGCCGGGCAGAGGCGGGAGGUCUUCCCUCCCCCGCCCGGCCUCGGAGCACCGUUCCGGGCCGGGCGGCAGCGGAGGUGUUCCCUCCCCCGCCCGGCUUCGGAGCACCGUUCCGAGCCGGGCGGCGGCGGGAGGUGUUCCCUCCCCGCCCGGCUCGGAGCACCGUCCCGAGCCGGGCGGCGGCAGCAGGUGUUCCCUCCCCCGCCCGGCUUCGGAGGAGCCUUCCGAGCCCGGCGGCGGCGGGAGGAGGUGUCCCCGCCCGCCGCCAGGCUUCGGAGGAGGUCCGAGGACAGUGGGAAGACGCGCUGCGCUUCCCGCUGUCCCUGAGAUUUCCCUAUGGGCUGUCGUCUUGCGAAGCAAGCCCAUAGGGAAAUUCGUUUUGCGAAGCGCCUCCAAAACGGAAAACCCUUUCGUCUAGCGGGUUUUCCGUCUUGCGAGGCGUUCGUCUUGCGGGGUACCACUGUACUUUCUGACAGUAAGAGCUAUUCAGCAGACUCUUCUUCACUGGAUAUUUUUAAACAGAGGUUAGAUAGCCAUCUGUGAUCAGUUGCAUAGCAUGGCUUGCCAGUAGCUGGGGCCACAUGGAGGAGGGGUGGGAAAGAAGGAAAUAGAUGGACACACGUACAUUCAACUGCCUACCAGUGUGAGCCAGUGUCGUGUAGUGGUUAAGAGCGGUAGUCUCGUAAUCUGGGGAACCGGGUUCGCGUCUCCGCUCCUCCACAUGCAGCUGCUGGGUGACCUUGGGCCAGUCACGCUUCUUUGAAGUCUCUCAGCCCCACUCACCUCACAGAGUGUUUGUUGUGGGGGAGGAAGGGAAAGGAGAAUGUUAGCCGCUUUGAGAUUCCUUAAAGGGAGUGAAAGGCGGGAUAUCAAAUCCAAACUCUUCUCUUCUUCUUCUUCUUCUACCAAUGUCUGCAUCACCCAGGAGCUUGCAGCUGCAGAGAUCUGCCCAGACACUGAGGUCCAGCACCGAGGGCCUUCUGGCAGUUCCCUCACUGUGAGAAGCAAAGUUACAGGGAAUCAGACAGAGGGCCUUCGUGGUAGUGGCGCCUGCCCUGUGGAACACCCUCCCAGCAGAUGUCAAAGUAAUAAACAACUAUCGGACCUUUAGGAGACAUAUGAAGGCAGCCCUGUUUAGGGAAGCGUUUAAUAUUUGAUGAAUCAUUGUAUUUUAAUAUUCUGCUGGAAGCCACCCAGAGAGGCUGGGGAAACCCAGCCAGAUGGGCGGGGUAUAAAUAAUAAAUUGUUAUUAUUAUUAGAAAAGAAAAAUUGUUCCAUUGUUUGGAGAGGCUACUUACUGGUUCGCAUGGGGAAGUCAUUUUCAGUGGAGCCCUAUGACAGAAGUGUGCCACUGUAUUGAGGCAGCACUGGGUGUUAACAUUUUGCAUCCCUAACACUUUUGGGCCCAUGUGGACCACCAUGCUACAUCACUGAUUCUGCAUUGCUGAGUGUUUGACUAGGUGACCCUUGAUGUCCCUUCCAACUCUACAAUUCUGUGAUUCUAUGAAAGGCAUGUUAAAAAUGGUCAGAUCCAUUUGGACGGUUAAUAGACACAAAAAUAUAGUAUAAACACUGACAACUGGGAAACACUGGUCUGCGAGCACUCCAGCUGGAGAACAGCCUUUACCAAAGGUGUCAUGGACUUUGAAGACACUCAAACUCAGGACGCAAGGGAGAAAUGUGCUAAGAGGAAGGCACGCUUGGCAAAUCCACACUGUGAUCAACUCCCGCCCAGAAACCAAUGUCCCCACUGUGGAAGCAUGUGUGUAUCCAGAAUUGGCCUCCAUAGUCACUUAUGGACUCAUUGAUCGCCCAAAAAGAAGACACACGGACUGUAUUGAACAGUAAUGUAUACUAAUAUAAGCUGAUAUCGCCCUGUUGAAAUCUUCACACAUAAAAUGAAUACACGAAGAAGUGGGUGUUGGUGGGUGAGACUGCAUUGCUGACAAGUUGAGCUUAAGUCCUGGGCCACAUUUCUCCGUUAUAUGGAGAAGAUCUAAACAAAGCCUUUCUUUUCUCUGAAUCAGGGAGUGGAAAAUACGUUACGAUGUUAAUCACAGGCAUCAAAUAUAAUUUCAGCUCAUCAAAUUCUUUGGCAUUCCUUGGUCCACUGCUCUAUUGUAUUUUAAUGUGUUUAUCACUUGUUUUCUUAGAGCAUUUUUGCGAACGUUUUCAUCAUUCAAACAUGUGUGCGUGUGUCUGAAAUUUUAGACGUUCUUUGGGCUACCGGCGUACUUUGGCUUUCAUCGUAAAGAAACCCGAGACACUCAAAAUUGUCAGUAAUAACUGAUAAAUAAUACGUUCCUGCUAAUGAUUUAGUGGGGAAAAGAUCCUUUAGCACAAAGCAAUCUCCCGCUUGCAGGCGUAAAAGCUGGAUGCCCAAACUGUGACUGACUGCAGCAGCAGCGGUCACCAGGUGAUUGAAAUUAACAGUUUUCUUUCAAUUGUUCUAAUUGAGUCCAACGGGAGUUCUGGAAUUCACUAAAAAGUAGCUCAAGUUGCUGUCUUCUCUAGGCUCCGGUGACUCUGACUUUCACCUUCCACACUCAGUUUAGUCUAACUUGAAAACAUCGUUUUAAAACAUGCUCUCAUAUGGAUACAACCUCAAAGAGAAAUCUCUGCAUUAGUGGCGAUGAGUAGGGACCAAUCUUACAUUGGAUAUCUUACACUGUUGUUCACCUCACAAUGCAGAGAGUUUAGAACACUUCUUAUCAGAUAUUUCUUAUCAUAUGAACCAAAUUUUUAAGGAAUUGCUAACAGAUGCAGCCCACCACCUUUUCUUAUCACAUAUAAGCCCUGUGCAGGUGUUACUUGCCUGAAGAGUGCAAAUGUAGUCAAAGGGAUUGCAGAGUCAUAUAGUCUAGCUUCCUGGCUGCCACAUCAUUGCCAUCCUAGGCUCCUUUGGGAAGAAGGGCAGGAUUUUAUUUCUUUCUUUCAUAUACCACCCUAUACCCGGAGGUUCACAGAAAAGAUCACAAAAGAUAAAAUUAAAAUAAAAACAAUAACCCAAUAACAUGCCCCCUCAAAAGAGCCACAUUUUAAAAGGGUAUAGGAUGUCAAUCAAGUCAACCAAAGGCCUGGUUAAAAAGGAACGUUUUUGCCUGCCACUUAAAGGUAUAUAAUGAAGGCGCCAGGCAAAAUUCCCUGGGGAGAGCAUUCCACAGACCGGGAGCCACUGCAGAAAAGGCCCGCUUUUGUGUUGCCACUGUCCGAACCUCUCGAGGAGGAGGCACACAAAGAAGGGCCUCAGAAGAUGAUCUCAGGGUCCGAGCAGAUCCAUAUGGAAAGAGGCGGUCCUUGAGGUAUUGUGGUCCUGAGCCAUUAUAAUUGAAAAAAUAAAUUUAUUCAUUGGUAGGCAGACAGGGAAGCAUGAGGCACUGUGAGCACAACAGCUGUAAACUGGAUUUACAUCACCCCUCCCAGUAAGCAGUAGGAACUCCACUGGCAGAAAGCCAGUGUGGUGGCCCUGCCCCACUGUGCUUAUCUCCGCCUCUGAAGAAAUUUGACAAGGUAACUCUGUUCAGCUUGUGUGUUGGUAGAAAUCUCCCCCCUCUCCUGCCAAUACCUUCAGUCCCAGGCCCCUUCAGCCACUUCUGCUUCUUUAGUAGUCAUAAACUGCUGUUUAGAUUCCCUGUAAACCACUUGGAGCAUAAAUCUAUCAGUGGGAAACAUGGUAUAUAAGUAAACUGACUAUGUCUAUACAAAUUAGCUUCCCCCUGGUCCACAUCCUGGUCAAACAAGGCAGAGCACAAGAUUAUUUAAUCCUUUUGUAUCACAAAGGUCUAAGUAGGCUUAAAUCCAAGCACUUCAUUUUAAAUGUGCUGCUGAUCUGGCUGCGAGAUUAUCAAAUCAUGUACUCCAAAGCGGUUCUACUUAAACCAAUUGACUUUCUUCGAAGUAAGUGUUUCAGGAUUAAAGCCAUGAUCAUAUCAUGUCCUCUUUCUCUCUCGAAAGUGAUUAGAAACACAGUAUGCUGUUUUACAAGAUGAAAAGUUAAGUGUCAUUGCACGCUUAAAAUAGAGCUUUAAUUCCAUUGCAGUAUUUCUCAUUUUAAUUGUUAAUUUAAACCUUACUAGGACAAGUAAAUGGAUACAAAUGCAUAAUUCAUUUGUUUGAAGUGUGCUCUUUAAUAAUGCAGCAUUCAAAUGAUGAUACAUUAAUCUGUCUUGCAGGGAAAAGUAAAAAAAACAAAAACAAAACAGCAAAUGAGCUCAUUUUGCAUUUUCUGUAAUUGCGUAUUAUGAAUGGAAUUGAUAAUUAAAGGUGUGGGGCUAUCCAGAGAGGAAGGAAUUCAAACUGUUUGGAAACAUUUUUUUUCAGUGUCUUUGAAGCAAAAACAAAUGCAACAAAAUUAAAAUGGCAUGUAACUCCCCUGUUAUUUAGUGGGGUUAUUUCCCAAAUAAGUGUGCAUACUAAAGGUGAAAUGAGUUUGAACCCAGUUUCCCCCACUUCAAAAAUCCCUUGACAUGUUUUCUGGGGGAUUAGCAGUAAAUCAUCAAGAGGUUCUUGACUGCAUGAGAAGAGCAACAACUAAAAGCCCCAAGAAAACUUGGGGGGGGGGGAGGCAGAAGUGGAUUUUUCUGUAAAAGGACUGUAAAUUUUGAUCCUUAAACAAAAAACAAAUUCCUGGGUCUGAGCAUGAUCUGAACGGCACUCUGUUCCUUAAUGUUAAGUGUAUGGGCGUUACGUGUUAAGAUCACCAAAACUGCCUAGAAAUAAAUUCACACAUGACUCAAAUUUUAGUUUGAGGUUUGGCACAAUUUUGGCCACAACUUUAUUGAUUACAGACUGUGAUUGGUUUGCUUAGGUAUUGGUUCAGACUAUCUGAACCUGUCCCAGUCAGUCUAGGACAGGAACAGAACUGACAACUGUGAGUUGCAGAGACCAGUCAAGGUCAGCACCCCGGGAGAUCAAUUGGGAUGAGUGCAGAUCCCUAAGAUCAUACCCAGAAUGCUCCCAGGGGCUCUUGCGCAGCCCUAUCCUCCUUUCAGGGGUCGGACAAAUGCAUGGCAAGCCCCUGGAUUCCUUUAAUGGAAUACCUACGCAGCAACCAUUGGAGGGACAGGUCACAGUCACGCCUCGUCCCCUCCACACACAUUAACCAAUGCCUAACCGCAAACUUUACAAUUUGCUACACAGUAGGCAAAACCCAGAAGGCACCAGCCAAUCAGCCAAGUGGGAAAAAUUCCUACCAGGCCCCUGCCCCCAAAGCAGACGACCCACAGCGGUAUAGCAGGGUCAACACGGACCCUAAAUAUAGAGAGGGUGGAUGGAUGGGUGGAUGAAGCAAAACAGAGGAAUCUCAACGCAAUGUGCAGCGGUAUAUAUCUGUCCCUCGGAAGCAAUUUCUGCAACCCCAUUGGCCGGAACAAGUCCCAUGCUUCCAAGGGACCAAUCGGGUAGCUGUGGCAAUCCAAACUUACCCACCCCAGCAACAGAUAGUCAGUUGUGGCGACCUCACUGCGACACGUGCUCUCUGGGAGGAGAACCCGAUUUCUUCAACUGAGCAGACUUAUUGAAAUUAAUGAACACGACCACUUGCACCCACCACACCCCCUUCCUCCACCCCUGUCUCUGGGCCACCUCUGGUCCCUUUGCAGUCCAAGCAUGGCUGAAUGACUUGUAUGAGGAAGCAUCUCCUGACGUAUUAAGCAAGUCCUCCUGAAGAGGUUCAGUUAAGGAUUGCUUUGAUCAGGUGGAUUUUGGUAAGGGAAGAUUUCGUUUUAUUUAUUCCACAAUAUAUAGACCACUUUCCUGACAAACAAGUGCCCCCCCAAAGAUCAUAGCAGUAUCCCAUUAAAACCUAACACAGCUAUUGAACUCAAUAGGGGGUGUUCUGAAUAGUCAUGUAUUGGCCUACACUGUCGGUUGCUCAGAUUCCAAUUCCUUCCAGGCUAUAUCACACUUUCCCAUUGUGAUCACCCUUUCUUCUAGGAAAAUACCUUUGCAAUGCCUCUGCGAGGGCUGCUGGCCAUUUUCACAAUCUUCACAGCUCCACCAAGUUUAAGGCUGUUGUUUAAGAGCCUAUGGGAUUCACACGGAAUUGGGGAAUGGAGCCGCUGAGAUCCAGAGAAAGGGAGAGGGAGAAAAUACUGCAAGGCAACCUCCCUGGCACUGAAAACUUCCAGACUUACUAGCCCUGCCACAUUUGAUUUACUUGGUGACAUGAACAUAAAGCAGAGUUACUGUGCCUUUUGCUGCGGACCACCAUUCCUUCUUCUGUUCUGCACUACAGCC